GUAGAUGCUCAGCCUCCAAACCAUGCCUUGCGUACUUGGCUUUGCCAUUCUGCAAACCAAAUGUCUGCUUUGUUGGCUGGCUUCUUGUGCAGCUCCAUGAACACAGGGUGUCACAGGGGAGUGGAAGCUGGAGGAAGGAAAGGGGCUCGCUCCUGUGAGCUUUCUGUCUGCUGUGGUUCCUAUAUACGUCAUUCCUGGAAUGCUUCUUUACCCCUCAGAGGCAGUGCUUUUCCGGAGCAGCAGCUGAGUCCAGGGACUUCUGCUUGCUGCUGCCAAGUGAAAAAUCAUGUAUUUACUUCCCGUUCCGCCGUGAUUGUAAGUUUCCUGAGGCCUCCCCAGCCCUGCAGAACUGU
rnacentral:lncRNA from 1 species